rnacentral:rRNA from 1 species
UACUUUUGGGGUGGAUGACUUGGUUCAUGCCUUGAUGAAGAACACAGCUAGCUGCGAGAAUUAAUGUGAAUUCCAGGACACCUUGAUCGUUGACACUUCGAAUACACUUGCAGCUCUGAGACUACAAAAAAAAAAGUAUUA